AUGUUAGAGAUAAACAGAAUAAACAACCUUGAAACCAGCACAGACCAAUUAUGGCUUCUGCUUUGGCAACGGGGCAGAAAGACAGAGACUUUCUACAAUCUCAGAAUCAUCAAUAGCACAGAUUCCGACAGUGAAGUGCCUUGUGACCCUUGCAGGCUGGCACGUGUCAGUUCUUGGUGGCCAAGCUGCCUGCAAACCAAGCAGAGUCACUGGUGUCAACAGUCCAGAGAGAACUGCUCGGGGGCUUUUACCUCCCUCCAGCUUCACCCAAACCAGGCCCCCACUUCACCAUUCCAAAGGAAUAUUCACGCAGAGACAGACGGGGUGAGGAACCUGAUUCCCAGAGAGCUGAGCACAGAGAGGCAGAGGACUCUGCUAGCAGCAAGCAGGAGAGGAGCUGCCAUCUGGGACUGCAUGUGCUUCCCAGACAGAUGGCUGCCUAUUCUGGUCGUGUUUUAUUUCGAGCAAUGGUUCAUACAGCAACAGCGCUAGUGUGAAAAUGGGAUGUGACAAGAUGCGUAUUGCUUGCACCUUCUGGAAAGUUCAGAUAAAACCAAGAUGUACAGGAUGUAAGAAUCAAUAUAAUUAGGUAAUUAAGAGAAGUGAAAGCCCCCUGGUUUAAUGCUGCAUUGUGCUGGUGCGUGUUGCAGGCUGUGUAUGUGUGUGUGAUAUGGAACAUGCAUAUGUAUGGUUCCACAUUUGUGCAUGUCCCCACUGCAAAACCAGUGAGAAAUAAUGAAUGUAUACAUCCAGCCAUUAAAAUAAACACAGCUACCUGCUCCAGCAGGCAUUUCAGACAGAAGUGCUGACAACCACACACUCUCUCACCAUUUUCACAGGGCAGGAAAUUCCCUCUGUCGUGCUGGAGCAGGACACAGGGCAAGGUCCUGGUUCUGCCCCCAUUCCUCGAACAUUUUUUUCCUGCAUUCUGCAUUGCAGAACACCAACAUCUAGAAAUGUCAGCGGAAAGAAGAGCAACAUCACAUGCUGCUCUAGCUGGGGUCAUUGCCUUGCUCUCUACAGAGUCAGGAAUCCAGCUCUGGGCAGUACAGGGACACACAUCCACAGAGAGCUUGACACAUUCCCAAGUACAUGGAAGUGGUGAAACACAGCUAUAAAACCUGUUUCCAAGUUGUUUUGCAGCUCAGGUUGCAAUGAAGGUUUGAACUGAAUGUGUUAAAAGCCACUGGUCACACAUAUGGAGCCUGCUGGAAGCUGACUUCCCUCCCCCAUGGGAGCCCUGAGCAGCUCACAGCCCAACAGCUCCCAUCUCCCACACACAGGAACUCACAAACUCAAAAAGGAGGAAAAAAGAUGGCAAGAAAAGAAUUCAGGACAAAAGUACCUGCCCAAAAGCACAGGUUCAGGUGUAAUGGGCUUCUGGAAGAGGCUGCUGCUGUGCUCAGGUACAUCUGAGGCUGCACUUUCUUCACGUUCUGCUUCUUCAGCCCCAAGGGCAGCGAGGGUCCGUCUCAUUUUGCACCAUGUGGGACUUAGGCAGAAGAGCAAGUGAAAGAAAAGUAUUGGUUGAGCCACACCUCAACGUGCAAAUCCCAGACAGUGAGGUCCUGUGCUCAUGGCCCCAAAGCCCAGCUCCUAGGAAGCUCAAGAAAAGCAGAGAUGUCCUCUAAAAUAGCAAUGAGGAGCUGUGUCUAUAAUCAAAGUUCAUUAAAAUGGGCUAAUGCAGAGCAGCUGGUGGUGAAAGACCCAAAUGGAGUGUAGCAUGCUGAGGUUAUCAGCAUAUAAAGUCUUUGCAAAGUUAUUAUCAGAUAGGCAAGAGAAAAUUAUGCAGCUCUCCUAAGAUUAAACUGCAGGACUGGGACUCAGUAAGGGGUGGGUGGCAGUCAAUGCAGCAUUCCUGUGUCCUGUGCAGGGACACCAAAUCAUACCCCGAGAUAAACUCAGGGAUGCACAAGAGGGAAAAUUCAGCUGAGGAGCAAGAGAUGAGCCAAGCAGGUCAGAGCACCCUGCAGGCAGGGAUCCAAGGGUCAGCAAGUGAAAAACCUGCCACCUCCACGCCCCCAUCACCAACUCUGAGUCAGCAAAUGGGGUUUUUGUACUUGCAGUUCCCAAAGUACAGCCAAAAGGACGUCGCGUAGAAACCAGACCGUGUUCGGGGAGUUUUGGCAACUCUGUCUUUUUAUCACUUUGCAGCUCGCUGGGUGUCACUCAGAGUGGAAAGCUUCGGUCCGGCUUUAGGUGUAGCUGUGAUUUCACACUUCUGCCGAGGCAGGGACUUUAUGUGCCGCUGCUGCUUAAUUACUGAGGAUGCUCAGGGAGGUGGGGCAGGCAGAGUUGGCUGAGCAGGGCUGGGGUGGGGAGGAAAACAUCCCCACACGCGAGCGGGAUUCGGGAGGAAUAAAUUCGGAGAGGAGCCGCAAUAAAUCUCCCAGCCUGGCCACUGCGGUGGGAGUUGCUUUUCCCCCUCCCCGCAACAGGGAAAUUCUGCUCUUUCCACGGGGGGUGGGAAGUGGCACAGGGCUGCAUUGAAAUGUAAAUUCACUCAAAUUAUUAAGCACAAGAGAGCAGCUCCUGCCAGCCCUUUGUUCCGCAGUCAGAAUGUGUAAUCUAGAAGAAUAAAUAUAGUCAGAUAUCAGCUAAACAAAGAGACCCGGGGCCAUGCAUAUUCAGCGACCCUCUCCCCCAGGACAUCCCUUCCCCCUUUAUCAGGGAGGCUCUUUCUGCAGUCAACAAUUGUAGAUCAAAAUGCCCUCAUUAACCAGGGCUGAGCUGCAAACCUCUCGCUGCUCCGUCCUGAGGGUGGGUUCCUUUAUUUCUCCCCAGGAGCAGAGAUGUUCCCAGCCCCUGGCCACCUCUGCUGUCCCUUCUCCCUCCGGGGGACAGGGCAGGGCUGGCCCUGGAGCCCAUGGGUGCUGCACUCCCAUCAGAGGGAUGGGAUGGGGUGGCUGCGGGUCAAAGUCCCGGAGUCCAGCAGCUCUUGUGGCUCCAAAAACUGUCCCACACUUUGCUGCCAUGUCCAUCACUGUUCCAGCCAGGAGAACCCCCCCGAGAGAGGCCAGAAGUCACCGAAUAUACCCAAUUCUGGCCACUUCAGAACAUGCUACCUGGACAGACUGAUGACCUGGAGACUCACAGAGAUGUUUUUUUUUAAAAAAACACCACCCAGAGAAACCAUUUCAAAUGUUUUUUUCCCCACAAGCUCCUGACUCCCUGCAGCCACCACAGCAGCUCCAGGUCCAACAGAGACCUGCACUGCAAGUUCACCCUGUGCUGUGGUGACCAGGGAUGUCCUGCUGUGUCCACUCUCUGGUCAUAGAGGGCCAGGUGACCACACAGGCACCAAGACAAGCUGGGAACAGUGGGAGGGACAGCCUCAGUUUCCCAGAGCCCUUCCAGCAGCACUGGGGAGCUGCAAACCAAGGAUUGCCUCUGCACCAAGCACAGGGAGAGGUGGCUGGAGGGGAAAAAAGCAGCAGGGGAGGAAAAGAGGGUGUUCUCCCCAGCACCUAAACACAGCUUCUCCUCUCCAGUGGUGUCAGUCUCACACCUGUCACUACCACUGAGCCUGCUGCAAGGUUUAAAAAUGAGGUAGGGGAGGAGGAGGGGGAAAGAAAAAAAAAAAAGGAAAAAAAAUCAAUUUGGCUGGUUUUGAGUUAUAUGAAUAUAAUAAACCCUGAGUGUCCUGCUUUUGGAUGCAGUUUGUGCUUCCAAUAACUCAGCAAUAUAUUCAUUAAACAAAGAGAGGUAAAAGCAGCAAGCCAUUAAAAAUAAAGCACCAGGAGAGGGAAGGCCAUACAGGCUGUAAAUAUCUUUGACUCUUUUUCAACCUCCAUUUUCUUAUCCCUGCUCAUUCACUAAUUGACCUCUGGAUCCUGCAUCUCAGAACAGUUUCCAUCACUGCACUUUGUCCUUCAACCACAGAUGCAGCAAAGGAUCUCAGGCACUCUCUAAAUGCAGAAUAACUCACAGACAUCCAAAGCAGGAGACAGAGUACCUUUCCCUCAUUGCCCUGGUGCUGUGCUGCAACACCCCCUGUACAAGGAUACAAAACCAUCAAAGAUCAGGCGUCCCACAUGAAAAAAAUAUGUCCAGUUUUAAUCUUUUAAAGCACUGGGCACAGCCCUUCUGUACAAACACACAAAAUCCUACCUUCUGGCGUUUCAGCUUCAUUGCACAAAGUCCACCCAGAGCUAUGGAGACAGACUCUUCUUUCUGAUCCAUAUGGAGGCGUUCUGGCCACAGGGCACUGCUCCCUUUCCUGGCCCAGGCAGGGCUCAGCUCCAUGUGGCAGCCACCAGAGCCUGACGUGCUGAUCCAGUCUGAGGGACAGCACACACACACUGCCACCAAACCACCUGCAAAAGGAGGCUUUCAGCACCACUCUGCAAGUCCUGAAGACCCUCCAAGUUUAAUUCUAGUACCAGCAGCUUGCCAGAAGGGUGUCUCUGACCCAGCAUCUGAAGUUUUUUCUUACCUUGCCCAAUCUAAGGGCUUUAACUCCCCAGUUAAACACUAACUCCAGUCACAUGCCACAGCAGUGAUUCAGAAGACAGCACCUGGCUGGCUCAGCACCUUCCAAAAGCCUCCCAAACAGCUGGGAGAGAUCUCCCACUGGCAGGGAGGGAAGUGGUUACUCAGCAGGAGGCUCAGCUCCAUCUCUGCAGCAUCUGGUUCUUCUCUGGAGCUCAUCACCCUCUGCAUGGUCUCAUUUCUUCACAAGUUCCAGCAGCAUCUCAGAGCAUCACCCAACGUGACAGCAAAACAGCAAGUGAGGCUUCCCUCACAUUUUCUGUGAUUAGCAAAACUGCUUGCUGGGGAGGGCAGGAUUCAGUUUGGUGAGGGCACAGGGGUUUUCCUGCCCCAAAACCCAUAUGAGACUUCUCUAUUCCUUGCCUGCAGGCACUCAGAAUGCCACUUUUCCUCCUUUCUGUGGGAUUUAAAAGAGCAGCCUUCUCAUGUU
ensembl:lncRNA